rnacentral:misc_RNA from 1 species
CAACCCUCAAGCACAGCUUGGUGUUGGGUGCUUGUCCCGCCUCCGCGCGGCGACUCACCUUAAAAUCAGUGGCAGCCCGCAUCCGCCGGCCGUGAGCGCAGCACAGUCGCGCCCUAGGCACUGGUAGGUCGGCUCUCCAGAAGCAUACCUUCUA